AAAUGCGAUAAGUAGUGUGAAUUGCAGAAUUCAGUGAAUCAUCGAAUCUUUGAACGCACAUUGCGCCCCUUGGUAUUCCAUGGGGCAUGCCUGUUCGAGCGUCAUUUGUACCCUCAAGCUCUGCUUGGUGUUGGGUGUUUGUCCCGUCUCCGCGCGUGGACUCGCCCCAAAGUGAUUGGCAGCCUGCGUACUGGUCCCGGAGCGCAGCACAUGUCGCGCAAACGAGUGCCUUGGUACGGCGGCGUCCAUAAGCCCCUCUCUCACGCUCUUGACCUCGGAUCAGGUAGGGAUACCCGCUGAACUUAAGC
rnacentral:misc_RNA from 1 species